rnacentral:rRNA from 1 species
UACGUAGGGGGCAAGCGUUGUCCGGAAUCAUUGGGCGUAAAGGGCGCGUAGGCGGCCGAUCAAGUCGGGGGUGAAAGCCUGUGGCUCAACCACAGAAUUGCCUUCGAUACUGUUUGGCUUGAGACCGGAAGAGGUUAGUGGAACUGCGAGUGUAGAGGUGAAAUUCGUAGAUAUUCGCAAGAACACCAGUGGCGAAGGCGGCUGACUGGUCCGGUUCUGACGCUGAGGCGCGAAAGCGUGGGGAGCAAACAGG